CCGGUCUAAGGUCCCCGACUGGGGCCACAAGUCCCUAAGGACUCCUGGGUCCCUAGAUUAUUAGCACAAAGCUUCUUGGGUAGUUGAGAAGCUUCGGGCUCCCCUUUCUCAGGGCCUAAAAAUAACCAGGCAAGAGGAACUCUGAGUAGCUAGCAAAUGUGCCAGCCAGCACCCCACGCAGCGGAAGCGCCUCCAAAUAAGGCCUAGACAAAGCGGAAGACAGCACGCAAGCCCGUCAGCACUGACGUGGAUUCCAGAACCUGCCCUCCCUGUACCCUCAGAGUCUCCCCUGGAGCCUGUGUGACUCAGGGACGCAGGAGUCGGAUUUGUUCACGGUGUCCAGAGCUUACUGGGCAAUUCAUUAAAGCAGUCUGCCCUUGGGUCCUGGAACUUUUAAGUUCCUGACAGGAGUAUGGAGCUGCAAGUGAGGACUCUGAGGCUGAGCUUUACUGAGUCAACAGUGAACAUGGAGCUGGAGCCACUCUUAACUGGCUAACACCUGUAUGUGCCCCAUCUGCCCUCCAUAGUGGCUGGUGCAACCCAGGCCCUGCUGAGGCUCGAGGAUUCUCUCAGAGGCUCCUCUGCUAGCUUCUCCAUAGGUGACUGGUGACUACAGCCAGCAGACCCAGAGAAGGGCAGUGAGUCAAGACCAACCAAGGGUCAUGGAGACCUCAGGCAGUGAGAGGAACUCCAUGUGCUCGCUGGACCUGACCUUAUAAGAAGAGAGGAAGUUUAACCUGGCUACGACUACACGACCUCCUCUGGUGCUGCUAUCUUGAGGAGCCUUUGGAGUUAGCCUGGUGUAGCCUGUGGGAGCCAGAGCCUGUCUACCAACCCCAGCACCACGAUCUCAUCAGUCCUCAGUGAUCCCGGAUAUCUCAAUGCCUUCCCUCCCCUUCUUGUACUAGCUCAUGGUUUAAGGGCUCCUAACCAUUUUUUAAGCCUCCCCUUUGGGGACAUGGGAGUUUUUGGUAAUAUCUGGGCAUCUGAUAUGACUUAGCACCUCCAGCCUGGACAGUCACUCAAUACAUAGGAAGCUGUGUGCCCUUGAAGAGCCAUACCCAAGUCACUGGCUAGGUCUACAUUCAAUUUCUCAUCACUGUCUGGUGGCUUUGAUCCAAGAACACCCUGAGUCUACCCUGGCAGCCAGCACAGUAUUCUAAUGCCACUGUGAGAGGCAAUGGCACUGGGCAUAACCGAAGGACCUAGAUGGGCUUGGAAAAGGUGAGUUUGCCAGAGAGAAUGGGUAUCCCAGGGGAACCACACAACAGCAGAGAAGCAGCCAAACAAUGUGGGAAGGGUGUCCUCAGAAGUCUGGAAGACCCACCGAGGCCUAGAUGUCAGCUAAUCAAAGGUCCUGGUUAAAUAUGAAAGGUUCAGUGGCCACAAGAGAGCAGUAGGUGAUUAAGCAGGUUCACAUAAGACCUACUUGAGGGCAGGAUAAAUGAGGCAGGCAAUAGGCCAAGUGGACAUGUGGGGCAGCCUGUCCUGGCUGAGGGCAAAUGGAGCUUGGGAAUGGGGCUGCUGAGGUAGCUCCGGGGUCUUAAACUCUUCUUGAGUAUGGCAGCACCUGCACUGACGGCCCUUGCUCUUGCUGACCAUUGGAACACUAUGUAACGUCUGGAGCUCUGAGUCGAGCCCUUCCCACCAGAUAGGCUAUGGAGUUAAGAUUAAGCAGAGAAGCAGUCCUGGCCUGUUGCACAUGUCUUGUGAGAGGCCAGAGAUAUACUCUGAGGCAUUUAAUAAAGAUAGGACUCAACAAAGACAAAAA
rnacentral:sRNA from 1 species